UGCUGUCUCCAGACAGAUAUAUAGGA
rnacentral:piRNA from 1 species